UGUAGCUCAGUGGUAGAGUACUUGCCUAGCAUGUGUGAGAUCCUGGGUUUGAUCCCCAGCA
rnacentral:tRNA from 1 species